rnacentral:lncRNA from 1 species
GACACAAAACACAGGAUCCUUCGUGGUUCACAGUGGUGGUGUUAGGGAGAGGCAAUGAGCCUUGCAUCAUAGGUAGAACACGAUGCAGCUGCAGGUGCAGAGAGUUAUCAGGGAGAGAAGGGCCCAGAAGACUGGGAAAAUGAUAGUGGUGUCAAACAGGAAAAUUACACUGAAAUUACACCAUGUCUUUUUACAUUUUCCUCAGUCUCCGUCUGAGCCACAAGUGCACUGCAGUCAUUUCAGAGAUACAGAAGCUUAUCUACUCUGCAGGUGAAGAUAUUGUCACUGACUGGGGAAUGUGCCUGUGGACCAUAACCCAAAGGUGGCAUCUUUUGUGAUAAAACAGGUAUAUCCCUGUUUCAUGAGUCUAUUGGCCAUGAAAGAGAUCCUCUAUGCCUGGAAGUUCACGGCUUCCCCUUUCUCUUCAUCAUUUUCUGGUUCUGCGGGAGGCUCCAUCUUUGAUUCAAACUUCACUUCUUCCUAAAAGCCUUCGUAAAUGAAGAAACCUUGCAAAUUACAGUGGAUGUUUCCCCUCACCAUUCAUGUAUCCAGUUUGUAAUUCCUUAUCUUCUUUUUGUGAAUAUGGUGGCUUGCCAUUUUGCCUCCAGGAACACUUGUUUGUCCACCCCAAUCCAAUGAUAAAGGACAAAGAAAAGAUUUAUCAGAGCAUGUAUUUAUGCAUAGCACAUCCCCAAAUGCUUGAACAGCAAUAAGUACCCAAAAAAGUACUGUUUAGGUAGCCAACUCCCACUGUCUAAUUUAAUCCCACUGAAACUGGAUGUGUCUUUUUCUCCUUUUGUUCUAAAGAAACUUGUUCUACU